UUGCCCCAGUAACGGCGAGUGAAGCGGCAACAGCUCAAAUUUGAAAUCUGGCCUCCCCGGGGGGCCCGAGUUGUAAUUUGUAGAGGAUGCUUCGGGCAAGGCGGCGCUCCAAUUCGCUUGGGACGGCGGGUCGCAGAGGGUGAGAACCCCGUCCAGGAUCGCGGGCCGCGCCCGGGUGAAGCUCCUUCGACGAGUCGAGUUGUUUG
rnacentral:rRNA from 1 species